AGCGGCGAACGGGUGAGUAACACGUGGGCAACCUGCCCUCAGCUCUGGGAUAACUCCAAGAAAUUGGUGCUAAUACCGGAUGUGACCGCUGACCGCAUGGUCUGGUGGUGGAAAGAUUUAUCGGCUGAGGAUGGGCCCGCGGCCUAUCAGCUUGUUGGUGGGGUGAUGGCCUACCAAGGCGACGACGGGUAGCCGGCCUGAGAGGGUGACCGGCCACACUGGGACUGAGACACGGCCCAGACUCCUACGGGAGGCAGCAGUGGGGAAUAUUGCGCAAUGGGCGAAAGCCUGACGCAGCGACGCCGCGUGGGGGAUGACGGCCUUCGGGUUGUAAACCUCUUUCAGUAGGGACGAAGCGGAAGUGACGGUACCUACAGAAGAAGCACCGGCCAACUACGUGCCAGCAGCCGCGGUAAUACGUAGGGUGCAAGCGUUGUCCGGAAUUAUUGGGCGUAAAGAGCUCGUAGGCGGUCUGUCGCGUCGGCUGUGAAAACCCGAGGCUCAACCUCGGGCCUGCAGUCGAUACGGGCAAACUAGAGUGUUGCAGGGGAGACUGGAAUUCCUGGUGUAGCGGUGAAAUGCGCAGAUAUCAGGAGGAACACCGGUGGCGAAGGCGGGUCUCUGGGCAACAACUGACGCUG
rnacentral:rRNA from 1 species